AGAGUUUGAUCCUGGCUCAGAUUGAACGCUGGCGGCAUGCCUUACACAUGCAAGUCGAACGGCAGCACGGGAGCAAUCCUGGUGGCGAGUGGCGAACGGGUGAGUAAUAUAUCGGAACGUGCCCAGUCGUGGGGGAUAACGCAGCGAAAGCUGUGCUAAUACCGCAUACGAUCUCUGGAUGAAAGCGGGGGACUCGCAAGGGCCUCGCGCGAUUGGAGCGGCCGAUAUCAGAUUAGCUAGUUGGUGGGUAAAAGCCCACCAAGGCGACGAUCUGUAGCUGGUCUGAGAGGACGACCAGCCACACUGGAACUGAGACACGGUCCAGACUCCUACGGGAGGCAGCAGUGGGGUAUUUUGGUCGAUGGGCGCAAGCCUGAUCCAGCAAUGCCGCGUGCAGGAUGAAGGCCUUCGGGUUGUAAACU
rnacentral:rRNA from 1 species